rnacentral:rRNA from 1 species
CAGCCGCCGCGGUAAUACAGAGGGUGCGAGCGUUAAUCGGAUUUACUGGGCGUAAAGCGUGCGUAGGCGGCUUCUUAAGUCGGAUGUGAAAUCCCUGAGCUUAACUUAGGAAUUGCAUUCGAUACUGGGAAGCUAGAGUAUGGGAGAGGAUGGUAGAAUUCCAGGUGUAGCGGUGAAAUGCGUAGAGAUCUGGAGGAAUACCGAUGGCGAAGGCAGCCAUCUGGCCUAAUACUGACGCUGAGGUACGAAAGCAUGGGGAGCAAACAGGAUUAGAUACCCCGGUAGUCCUGUCUCUUAUACA